CACUUCCCUGCGGCUGCGCCGGGCAGAGGCGUACGUGACCCUGGGGCAGUAUCCAGAGGCGCUGGAGGACCUGGAUGCGGUGUGCAGGGCUGAGCCUGGAGAUGGUAAGGGCUUCUUCAGGAAAGGGAAGGUGCUUCUGGAGAUGGGGCGGAGAGCUGAAGCCCUGCUGGAGUUUGAACGCUGCCUUGCGCUGAGUGCCCCUUUCCCCGCCGCUCGGAGCGAGCUGGAGAAGAUCCUCGCGUGGGAUGACUCUCCUCGGCCAAGCCCGGCUGCAGAGCUCCCAGCUGCUGCCUGCCAGAGCUCAUCCAGCCCCCAAGCCAGGGAAGAAGGAUCGAGCGCUGGGCUCACAUCCUCCCCUGCACAAGAGCAUGCUCAGGAUCAGGAGGGAGCAACAGAGAACAGCAG
rnacentral:lncRNA from 1 species